rnacentral:lncRNA from 1 species
CUCUAGGGUAAGUUUAAAAAUAUCUGUUAGCUCUAAUGUCAAUGCAUACCUCAAAAAAGUUUUAGACUAUAGAAACCUGCCAUUGAUUGUUUAAAAAAUGCUGGGACUUUGCUUAAUAAUUUUGUCUCAUUCCAGGAAAAGGGAAUACAAAAAGAGCCACUGCACAGUGCCAAAGAAGCACAAAGUUAACCUGCAUAGUGCCAAUAGAGCACAAAGUCAAAGAAACCAAAACCAUUCCCAGUGGGAUUGAUGAGAUACUGCGCCAAGACACAGAGGACUUAAACUUUUUUGAGGUUCAAGGUUGUGGCUCUUUGACAUAUGUUAGAUGGAGGACUUCCCUGAGCCACAUUCUACCAAGCACCUUACUUUGGCUGCCAUCCAGGCUCCCGAAUCCCUGAGAGACAAGGAAGCAGUUCAAUCACUCUUUCAAGUGACAGCUCUUCAAUUACUUUUUAAAGGUGGAAUGAGAAGAAUGGAAGAGAGAAUGUAAAAGAACACAAGUUUGAAGUGUGGCUAAGAGAAACUACAGAAAACCUGUUAUAAUCAUGUUCACAUGCUCAAUCAAAGAAAUAAAUAUAAAAUACUCCAUUACA